rnacentral:lncRNA from 1 species
AUGAAAAAACAAGGCCAAAUGCCUGGGCAAAACCAGAAGGAAUGUGGCAACAGCAGGAUUGGAGCCAGAGAAGCAAGAGGGCACACAUUCUUUUUAAUGGAUCCAGAAAUUACAGCCAGGGAUCACCAUAAAGCUACCUUAAGCAAUAUUCUUAGAUCUUUGGCUAAACAGAGGUCGAAAACAAGACAGCUAUACUUCUAAGGUAUGUUUAGAUUAUUUAUUUUCAGUAAAAUUUCAAAUAUGAUUUGA